AGCAGUGGGGAAUUUUGGACAAUGGGGGCAACCCUGAUCCAGCCAUCCCGCGUGUGCGAAGAAGGCCUUCGGGUUGUAAAGCACUUUUGGCAGGAAAGAAACGUCGCGGGUUAAUACCCCGGGAAACUGACGGUACCUGCAGAAUAAGCACCGGCUAACUACGUGCCAGCAGCCGCGGUAAUACGUAGGGUGCAAGCGUUAAUCGGAAUUACUGGGCGUAAAGCGUGCGCAGGCGGUUUGGAAAGAAAGAUGUGAAAUCCCAGGGCUCAACUUUGGAACUGCAUUUUUAACUACCGGGCUAGAGUGUGUCAGAGGGAGGUGGAAUUCCACGUGUAGCAGUGAAAUGCGUAGAUAUGUGGAGGAACACCGAUGGCGAAGGCAGCCUCCUGGGAUAACACUGACGCUCAUGCACGAAAGCGUGGGGAGCAAACAGGAUUAGAUACCCUGGUAGUCCACGCCCUAAACGAUGUCAACUAG
rnacentral:rRNA from 1 species